UACGAAGGGGCUAGCGUUGCUCGGAAUCACUGGGCGUAAAGCGCACGUAGGCGGAUUGUUAAGUCAGGGGUGAAAUCCUGGAGCUCAACUCCAGAACUGCCUUUGAUACUGGCGAUCUCGAGUUCGGGAGAGGUGAGUGGAACUGCGAGUGUAGAGGUGAAAUUCGUAGAUAUUCGCAAGAACACCAGUGGCGAAGGCGGCUCACUGGCCCGAUACUGACGCUGAGGUGCGAAAAGCGUGGGGAGC
rnacentral:rRNA from 1 species